rnacentral:rRNA from 1 species
UUUGAUUCUGGCUCAGGAUGAACGCUGGCGGCGUGCCUCAUACAUGCAAGUCGGACGGAACUAUUGGUGUAGCAAUAUAUUGAUAGUUUAGUGGCGAACGGGUGAGUAACACGUAGCUAACCUGCCCUAAAGUCUGGGAUAACAUACCGAAAGGGAUGCUAAUACCGGAUAAGACAAGAUGCCGCAUGGCAUCAGGUUAAAAGAUGGCCUCUGUUUACAAGCCGUGCUAGGGGAUGGGGCUGCGGUCCAUUAGGUAGUUGGCGGGGUAAAGGCCCACCAAGCCUGCGAUGGAUAGCCGGGCUGAGAGGCUGGACGGCCACAAUGGAACUGAGACACGGUCCAUACUCCUACGGGAGGCAGCAGUAGGGAAUAUUCCGCAAUGGGCGAAAGCCUGACGGAGCGACGCCGCGUGAAUGAAGAAAUCUUUCGGGAUGUAAAGUUCAAUCGACCAGGGAAGAAUGGUUUUCAUAUUAAUAAUAUGAGAGCAGGGACGGUACCUGGAAUGAAGCCACGGCUAAUUACGUGCCAGCAGCCGCGGUAAUACGUAAGUGGCAAGCGUUAUCCGGAAUCACUGGGUGUAAAGGGUGUGUAGGCGGUAAUUUAAGUUUUGCGUUUAAUUUCAGGGCUCAACCCUGAAUGUGCGCGAAAUACUGAAUUGCUUGAGUGAUGAAGAGGAAGUUGGAACUCCAGGUGAAGCGGUGAAAUGUGUAGAUAUCUGGGGGAACACCAAUGGCGAAGGCAGGCUUCUGGUCAUCAACUGACGCUGAGACACGAAAGCGUGGGGAGCAAACAGGAUUAGAUACCCUGGUAGUCCACGCAGUAAACGAUGUUCACUAGGUGUGAGAGGUAUCGACCCCUUUCGUGCCGCAGUUAACGCAUUAAGUGAACCACCUGGGGAGUACGACCGCAAGGUUAAAACUCAAAGAAAUUGACGGGGGCCCGCACAAGCGGUGGAGUAUGUGGUUUAAUUCGAUGCAACCCGAAGAACCUUACCAGAACUUGACAUGUCGAUGCAAGGCUAUAGAAGUAUAGUCCCCUGUACAGCAAUGUAUAGCGUUGAGCACAGGUGGUGCAUGGCUGUCGUCAGCUCGUGUCGUGAGAUGUUGGGUUAAGUCCCGCAACGAGCGCAACCCUUAUUUCCAGUUGCCAACAGGUAAUGCUGGGAACUCUGGAGAAACUGCCGAUGACAAAUCGGAGGAAGGUGGGGAUGACGUCAAGUCAUCACGCCCUUUAUGUUCUGGGCCACACACGUACUACAAUGGUGCAUACAGAGGGUAGCGAAACCGCAAGGUCAAGCCAAUCCCACAAAGUGCAUCUCAGUUCGGAUUGAGGGCUGCAACUCGCCCUCAUGAAGCUGGAAUCGCUAGUAAUCGCAGAUCAGCAAGCUGCGGUGAAUACGUUCCCGGGCCUUGUACACACCGCCCGUCACACCACGAAAGUCAGUCUUAACAGAAACCGUUGUGCUAACCGCAAGGAGGCAGGCGUCUAAGUUCAGGUUGGUGAUUGGGGUGAAGUCGUAACAAGGUAGCCGUACGAGAACGUGCGGCUG